AUACAUACAUAGAAUAAAAUUAAUCUCAAACUUUACCUCAAAGCUGUUUUCCUUAUUCGAUGUACCAAAUGACACCCUAAAAUUUUCCUUUAGUUACCUUUCCAAACAAAAAUAAAACUAAAAAAAAAAAGGUAAAUUAGUUAAACUACUCUACCCCAAGGGGUAAAACUUACCCGCACAUACAUAAAAUAAAACUAAUCUCAAAUUUUA
rnacentral:lncRNA from 1 species